AUACGGAGGGUGCGAGCGUUAAUCGGAAUUACUGGGCGUAAAGCGUACGUAGGCGGUUGGUUAAGUUAGAUGUGAAAGCCCCGGGCUUAACCUGGGAACUGCAUUUAAAACUGGCGAACUAGAGUUGAGUAGAGGGGAGUGGAAUUUCAGGUGUAGCGGUGAAAUGCGUAGAGAUCUGAAGGAACACCAGUGGCGAAGGCGACUCCCUGGACUCGAACUGACGCUGAGGUACGAAAGCGUGGGUAGCAAACGGGAUUAGAUACCCUUGUAGUCC
rnacentral:rRNA from 1 species